ACUUUUGAAAGUAACUACUUCUUCUAUUUAUGAAGCCGAGGUAUUAAAAAUUAGACCUAAAAGCAAUUUCACAGCGGGUUCGUUAUGCUAAAUGUAACUAGUUAUAUGCAACUAUGUUACUUGCAACUACUCAUUCACAGGUUCCGACCUGAAGACCACUGGACUAAGGAAGGCUUGCCUGAUUUGAUGCAGGAUUAUUACCCAGCCCUUGAAUUAUAUGCAACUAUGUUACUUGCAAAGGGACGUGGUGGCGCUGCGGGCUAAACCGCAGAAGCCUGUGCUGCAGGGUCAGAAGACCAAGCAGUCGUAAGAUCGAAUCCACGUGACGGAGUGAGCUCCCGUCACUUGUCCCAGCUCCCGCCAACCUAGCGGUUCGAAAGCAUGCAAAUGCAAGUAGAUAAAUAGGGACUACCUCGGUGGGAAGGUAACAGCGUUCCGUGUCUAAGUCGCACUGGCCAUGUGACCACGGAAGAUUGUCUCCGGACAAAACGCUGGCUCUAUGGCUUGGAAACGGGGAUGAGCACCGCCCCCUAGAGUCGAACACGACUGGACAAAAAUUGUCAAGGGGGACCUUUACCUUUACCUAUGUUACUUGCAACUACACAUUUACAGGUUCCAAUCUGAAGACCACCGGACUAAGGAAGGCUUGCCCGCUUUGAUGCAGGAUUAUUACCCAGCCCUUGAACCUUGGGACUUCUGAGAUGCAAAGCAGAUGGUUGACCAUGGAGGACUGUUAUUGCCGUUCCCUGGUGAAUCAUCUUCAGUUCCUGCAAGGAUAAUGUGGUAUCAUUUUGUGGCUGGUUGUCCUGAAGUGAAUACUCCGUGUAAUGAAUAUUACCAGAACAAGACCAAAUGGGCUGUUAGUUUCAAGGAGGGCGAUGGCAUGCACUCUUAAUUCCGCUCCCCCCAAAUGUGUUUCGGAUGAGAAUGCUGUCUGUGAAAGGUUGUUUACUCCCAGUUGGCUAAGAGCCUUGCUUCAUUCAUCCUGCUCUCAAGGUAGGCAUUACUGAGUCUCAUAACAACCUCCUCUAUCAUGUACGCAUUAAAAGGCUCUUCAUGUUGUAGCCCUGUAAUUGCCACUUUCUACUGUAGCCCAGUCCAGUUAAGCCCGUUUGCCUGUCUCUUUGCAUCAUGCCUUUCUUCCGUGUUGUGCAAGGGAGAAUAUAGUCCUGAUUAAGUUAUCGUUUUGGACAGUACC
rnacentral:lncRNA from 1 species